rnacentral:rRNA from 1 species
CAUGCCGUAAACGAUGAGUGCUAAGUGUUAGGGGGUUUCCGCCCCUUAGUGCUGCAGCUAACGCAUUAAGCACUCCGCCUGGGGAGUACGAUCGCAAGGUUGAAACUCAAAGGAAUUGACGGGGGCCCGCACAAGCGGUGGAUUAUGUGGUUUAAUUCGAAGCAACGCGAAGAACCUUACCAGGGCUUGACAUCCUACUAACGAAGUAGAGAUACAUCAGGUGCCCUUCGGGGAAAGUAGAGACAGGUGG